rnacentral:rRNA from 1 species
GUAGUCCACGCCGUAAACGAUGUCUACUUGGAGGUUGUGGCCUUGAGCCGUGGCUUUCGGAGCUAACGCGUUAAGUAGACCGCCUGGGGAGUACGGUCGCAAGAUUAAAACUCAAAUGAAUUGACGGGGGCCCGCACAAGCGGUGGAGCAUGUGGUUUAAUUCGAUGCAACGCGAAGAACCUUACCUACUCUUGACAUCCAGAGAACUUAGCAGAGAUGCUUUGGUGCCUUCGGGAACUCUGAGACAGGUGCUGCAUGGCUGUCGUCAGCUCGUGUUGUGAAAUGUUGGGUUAAGUCCCGCAACGAGCGCAACCCUUAUCCUUGUUUGCCAGCGAGUAAUGUCGGGAACUCCAGGGAGACUGCCGGUGAUAAACCGGA